rnacentral:rRNA from 2 species
GAAGAAGCACCGGCUAACUCCGUGCCAGCAGCCGCGGUAAUACGGAGGGUGCAAGCGUUAAUCGGAAUUACUGGGCGUAAAGCGCACGCAGGCGGUCUGUCAAGUCGGAUGUGAAAUCCCCGGGCUCAACCUGGGAACUGCAUUCGAAACUGGCAGGCUUGAGUCUUGUAGAGGGGGGUAGAAUUCCAGGUGUAGCGGUGAAAUGCGUAGAGAUCUGGAGGAAUACCGGUGGCGAAGGCGGCCCCCUGGACAAAGACUGACGCUCAGGUGCGAAAGCGUGGGGAGCAAACAGGAUUAGAUACC